CAACCAAUUCUAACUUCAACCAACUAAGUCCAAUUUUAACCAACCAAUUCAAAUAUUCAAACCCCAUAAUAUCAAACUAAAACAUUAAUUAAAAUCUAAAUAUUCAAUAUCAAGUCUAAGUAGCAAAUAGAUAUCGACUCUAAUAUAAUAAAGUCUAAACAUGUAUACCAUAACAUCUAAACUUACAAAUAAAGUCUAAAUAUAAAUUCUAAAUACCCAAGAACAUUAAUCAACCAAAACAUACUACUAGACAUCAGAUUCAGUCUCUUCAUCAUCAUAAGAGUGGGACGUGUGCUUUUUCAUGAAUUUUGUCACUCUAACAAUGUGAACUUUGACUGUUUCACAUCGUUCCGACAAUAUCUUUUGGUGAAAUGCAUUGAGCCUUCAUACAGUGGGCGACUAGCUUCCUGUAGUUGUCCAUAAAAGUGCUUAGCCUCAUCAUUUGGUUUGGAAUUUGGUUCGCAUUGAGCCCCAGGGAAUAUCUCAAAAGCAUCUCUCAUCAUUUCAUUGAAUCGAGAAUUUUCAAAAUUAUUCUCUGCUCUUUUUACUACCCCCACCACCAAAUCUGAGAAAAUAAUACAAAUUGAGAUAUUCUUCUACAGGUUUCCACUUUGAAUAAUUGUAAUACCUUCAACAUUUUAACUAUGAAUGACUCUAUAAAUUUAAAAUUUCACAAUAAAAGUUAGGUUGAUUACAUGAAUUCUCUCACACUAGCAUUCUCUUUUAAUUACUUUUUCAAGAUCUUUCAAACAUCAGCAGAGUUUUUGACGUAUGCUUAAUUGUUUUGAAAAAAGAUAUAUAGGUCUUCAUGUUUAUUAGCUAGCUUCUAGGAUUUUUCUUCUCCUCCAUGUUUUUCUGAUUCUACUUUUGUUUUCUUUUUCUCCUUUGAAUUACAAGUAACAACUAUAGUGGUAUCAACUAAGCGGUUAAGUAUGACUAUUUUUCUUUCGUUUUUCUGGACAUCAUAUGAAUAUAAAAAAUAUGGAUCAACAUAGUCCUGUUUCUUUUGCACCAAAGUUUCAAUGUGACUUGAUUUAAAAGAAAAUAUAGAACUUAAAGUAGAGGAAUUUUGUCUCUCCUGAGAACAACGUUCAAGAGAUGAAACUCAAAAUUGGUGUUAUUAUUACAAUUAUACUACUAAUAGAUAUCCUUGAGUAAAAAGUUUCAAAUUCCAAUCCGUCUGUGUAUCUCUACCAUCUCAUUUACCAUAUUUUAUCAACCUAUCUUCUUUUUUUGUUAUGGUACUACUAAUCUAUCUUAACCCAGACAAUUAUUUUAAGAAAAAUAAACGAGUUUUUAAAGAGGUGCAGUUUCGAAUUCUUCUUCAUCAAGAGAAUUAAUAUCAAGAGAUUGCAAGAAUUACAUCUGACAUCAUAAGUAAGCUAGGCAAAAAGUUUCACAAUGGAUAUUCGUAGUUCUAGUUCAAGAUUAGUUAGAAUUGCAAACAGGUAAAGAUUUUGUACCUUAUAACAACGAAAUUACUAAUUGAAAUGCUAUAUCUCCUCUCCCUUACAGCUUGCAACUUCCUCUUGUUGGAGACAAAUUCCUAUACAGUCAACUUCUAAUUUCACUCCAAGGAGGCUACCCACUACAGUCAAAAUAAUCCCAAAAUCAAACAAGAAUUCCAUUCACGAACCUAAAAUAGCUCAGCAAUCAGCCCCAGUAAACAUACCCGAUUGGUCAAAAUUUAGGGGACGAGCUCAAAAAAAACAAAUGAUUCCUCAAUUCUUCAAAAAUGUAUUAACAGAUAAAACUACUCAAUUUACACUAAAAUUAUAAAUUAUAGUGUAAAAUACCAUGUGAUGUUGAAUGAUAUACAGAAAGGAACACCAAAUUUUCAGAAAUCAACGCACUGUAAAGUGAUAUUGUGAUAUUUUGUUAGACACUCUUAAUUUUCCUACCAAAUGUAAAGUGCAAACCUCAUUAUCAUUUAAUUAUUCCAUCAUAAUAUUCUUUCUAAGAUCUACUUAAAUUUCAAGAGCAAUCACAAAGCAUUCAAAAUAUCGCAACCUAAUCAACAAUAAUAGGCCGUUUCACCAUGAGAGAACAAACCCACUCAAAUUAUUUUUCAAACUAAGCUUUUAACACUAAAAUAGUAGUGCCACUAAUUUUGCACACUAAAAAUGAAACCCUAAGUCAUCGUCAAAGAUUAGACGGAGAGAGAGAGAGAGAGAGAGAGAGAGAGAGAGAGAGAGAGAGAGAGCCUACCUGAUGAAGAACAAUCGCUGAUUUUGCCGGUGCUGUUGGAUAUGAUUUCGCCGGCGCCAUUGAUUAACGGGACAGCUGAAGAGAGCGUGUAGAGAGAGACAAACAGUAAGAGAGAGAGAGAGAGUGUGUGUGGGAAAAAGUAUUAGAAAAGUAAGGGAAUUAGACAGAAAAUAACUUAAGUUUCCGACUACAGUAGUCACAAAAUAAGGUCUGACAAUAUUCCGACUACUAAGGUCGGAAAAUAUACAUUAUUUAAUUAUUUUUUAAAAAAACAUUUCAGCUACUACGGCCGGGACCAUUUGGUCAAAAGUUGUUUGGCUUUCC
rnacentral:lncRNA from 1 species